rnacentral:lncRNA from 1 species
CGAUGCGUUGAGGAGGAAGAGGAGCGUGACGAGGAACGCGGGUUCGAAGAGGCCCAGAUUCAAGAUGAUGUGGAUUCUGCAGAGAUUGGUUUGAUCGGAGACGGCGGAGAGGUACCUGCGGCGGAAGACGGGUAGCCGGAGGAGUUCGGUGAUGGCCCAGAGGAAGAUGAAGAGGACGAGGACGAAACGGACGGUCCAGAGGCAGUUGAAGCCUUGGAGAUAGGUGAAGGAUUUGGAUUUGAAACGAAGGUGGAAGAUGAAACAGAGGGAGAGAACAGAGAGGAUGAUGAGGGUGGAGAUGAAGGUCACGGUGGCGAGGUCGAAAGCUGAAUUGAGGACUGGUAAUGCAGGCAUGAACAACAACAUCGAU